UCCUUUGAUCUAUACAUGCAAUUUUUUGUACCAUUCUGGUUUAAGUUAGUUAUAACUUAAUUCUUACCAAAUAGUUUAUCCAUGUAUUAUCAUGCUAUGUUUUUACUUUAGAACCUGUUUUUCCGUUGCACUCGAUACCCCUAGUCCCCAUGGCAUCUUUUUAUUGUCCUUUAUGUGAUGUCCGUGUUAUUCUCCAUUUGAUCCGAGUGGUCCUCAUUUCCAUUGACUAGGAGAUACUACUUUACUAAAAAAAUAUUGAUAUGAUAUCCAGAGUUGUUGGCAUUGUAAUAGUCAAUUUGAAUGAUGCAGUGUGUUCUUGCGUUUAUAACUACCAAUUUUUUUAGUCCUUAGAUACCUACACAUUUCAUGGUGAUUGACCAAUUAGUGAACUUUUACUGGUAAUUGCUUCAGUAUAACUGUGACUAGACGUGGCAAAAGCGGGCUGGUUGGGUAUGGUCAAAACCAAUAUUUUCUGGUUUGGCUGAAUUGGGUCGGAUUUGGUUGACCAAAAACACUUUUGUCGAGGUAUUUUGUUCCUUUUAUAAAUAUCUAGGGUAUGAAACUUGUCUUAGAAAUUUUAUAAGCUGAUAAUUUUUUAACAAACUCAACUGAUCUAAGGAGGUUUUGUGCCAAAAAGUAAACUUCAAGCAACUUUUUAUCUGUUUGAAUUGUUCGAAUCAUCUCAGUUGAUCUAUUCGUUAAUGAUUUUUUCUAGUUUAUCCGUUUGACUCAAUGGAUAACAUAUCCGAAACUAUGGUAAGUGGUGAGCAGCUAAUACACCAUGGUACUACGUGUGACAUUCUGGUUUUUUAAAAGAAUAAUUAUACUAUUUGUUCUGAUUUGUAAAUCUUUGUGCUUUAUAUUAUUUUCCCCUUGUAUGCUCCGUCACUCAUUUUUUUUUACCAAAACUAAUGCAAAACAUUGGAUAACUUUGGUAAUUGAAUAAUUUCUCUGAUUCUGGGCUAUGAUCGUGGUCUACAUCUCGUCUGUAUGAUGCAGUUUUUUUAAAUUUGUAUCCUACGAUAUACAAGAGUGUGUGAAUUUCUUGUGUGAAAUUUGUAUGUAGAUUAUAUAAAACUUUCGCGGUGUUUUGGAUUGAUUUAUCGAUUCUAUUUUUGUAUUACACACAAGGUAUGUUGUUGGCAUCUUGCUUUGCUCCGUGGAUAUUGUCUUCUGUGCCUGAUUCAUUCUGUUUGAUAUGCAUAAAGGAAGUGGAAACAGGGUGCUGGGUGUAACGUUACUUGUGUGAAUUCUCAUGCUGAUCUAAAAAAAUAAAAAUAAAAAAUGCUGGGUGUAGUGUUAUGUUAUAAUGUGAAUUGUCAUGCUGAUCUGUCUGGUGAAAGGAUUAGUCUUGUAUGGUGUGUAAAUAAAUUUAUUACCAAUCAGCUGUGAGGUACUGUAUGAGUUACAUUUUUUCUAGAUAUUGAAAUUCUACGUUGUUAUGUACCCAGCUGCCUUGUUGCAAUGAAUUUAACAAUCAGCUGUGAGGUACUGUAUGAGUUACAUUUUUUCUAGAUAUUGAAAUUCUAUGUUGUUAUGUACCCAGCUGCCUUGUUGCAAUGAAUUUAACAAUCAGCUGUGAGGUACUGUAUGAGUUACAUUUUUUCUAGAUAUUGAAAUUCUAUGUUGUUAUGUACCCAGCUGCCUUGUUGCAAUGAAUUUAACAAUCAGCUGUGAGGUACUGUAUGAGUUACAUUUUUUCUAGAUAUUGAAAUUCUAUGUUGUUAUGUACCCAGCUGCCUUGUUGCAAUGAAUUUUACUUAUCUGGCAA